AUGGUGAUGGCUUAAGCAAGUAUCACGGCGCGUACUUUUUCCGAAGUGUUUGCUCAUUUUUCCUCCCAUUUGAUUUUCAUCAUAUUCCUCGGAAAGUAAGAAGUCAAAGUGUCUUUUUUUUUCGGGCAACUUCAUAUUAGAAGACUCACUGACUUUAUCAACUAGUGAAGAAGGAAGAAAAAUAAAUACCCUCUUUCAGUGUCUGUUAAUCUUAAAGUUUUCUCCUAGGUUAGAAAAAG